rnacentral:rRNA from 1 species
GGGGNCCCGCACAAGCAGCGGAGCAUGUGUUUUAUUUCGACGCAACGCGAAGANCCUUACCUGGGCUUGACAUGUGCCUGACCGCUCUGAAAACAGAGCUUCCCUUCGGGGCAGGUUCACAGGUGGUGCAUGGCUGUCGUCAGCUCGUGUCGUGAGAUGCUGGGUUAAGUCCCGCAACGAGCGCAACCCCCGUCGCAUGUUNCCAGCAUUAAGUUGGGGACUCAUGCGAGACUGCCGGUGACAAACCGGAGGAAGGUGGGGAUGACGUCAAGUCAUCAUGCCCCUUAUGUUCAGGGCUACACACGUGCUACAUUGGCGCGU